rnacentral:lncRNA from 1 species
CAAGCAAUGAAGCAAGUGCUAUAAAUUCACCACCAUUGUCAGAAUAUAAUGUCUUGAUACUAAGAUUAAAAUAUUUCUCAACAAUGGCUUUAAAUCUAAUAAACAAUUCUUUAACUUUGGAUUUUUGUUUGAGUGGAUAAAGCCAAAUGUAUUUGGUAAAAUGAUCAACAAAAAUUACAUAAUAUUUAAAUCCAUCAUGAGACAUAACUGGUGAAGUCCAAACAUCAGAAAAUAUUAUUUGAAAAGGAUGAGUAGAGGCAAGAGUUGAAUUAGAAAAAGAAAGUUUGUGACUUUUAUUGCAGUAACAAACAUUACAUGAAAAAUCAGAAGGAAUAGAAGAAGCUAAAUCUAAAUGAUAUUUAGAAACCAUAUUCUUCAAAAUAGGAAGAGCAGGAUGUCCCGAUCUAUGAUGCCAUUCGGAUGAAAUAGUCUUGACACUGGAGAAAGCAAAUAAUGGAGAAUUUAGGGGCCACUCAUACACACCAUCCUUAGUUGGACCCUUCAAAAGUGUUGUUCCCGUGCGAAGUUCCUUCAACAAAAAUGCAGAAGGUAAGAAUUCAAUAGAUACAUUGUUUGAAGCACAAAAUUGAGAGAUUGAUAUCAAGUUUUUUUUCAUGCUAGGUACACACAAAACAUUACCUAAUGAAAAUUGAGAAGUGGGAGUUUUGAGGGAUGUGAAAACAGUACGAGUAAUGGGGAGAGUCGUGCCAUCUGCAAUCAUAAUGUCAUCAGACCCUGUGUAAGGAAAGUGAAGAGAUAAGUUGCUCAAGUCGAAAGUUACAUGGUGGGAAGCACCACUGUCUAGAAGCCAAGCUGGAUUGUUGGAAAUGUUGGCAGCAAAGUGUGCUUUUGGUUGCCAUGGUGAAAAAGAAGUCCCUGCUUUAUUUCUGUUGUUGGUUUGUUGAACUAGGACUAAACGAAAUGAAGGACAUCGUUUAGCACUGUGUCCUUGAAUUCCACAUAUCUGACAAUAACCAAGAUAAGGUCGUAAAGGAGGCCUAGUACCAAGAUUUUUUUCAGUUGUGUUUGGUGUGAAGGGCUGAGCAUCUAAAGUGGGCGACGGGAGCCUGCCUGUGUUGUUGAUACCAUGAUUUGAUGGUGGUUUCCAGCCAUAGGUUUCUGAUGAGCGUGAACUAGUAUUGGUUCGAUUUGUUGGGUUAACAGCGGUAGGAAAAUAAAAUGGGGCAUGUUUAUUAUCAUGAAGGGAUGCUUCAAAGUUAAGAGUUUUUCAUGAAGUUCAUCAAACGAAAUUGGACUGUCUCUAGCUUGGACAACAGGCAUUAACUCUUUGUAAUCAACACCCAAUCUAUCAAGAAUCUUUUCAGCCAGAUCUUUAUCAUCAAUUGGUGCUCCAAGAAUAGCCAGUUCGUCAGCACGAGCUUUUACAUUUUGAAGAAAUUCAGUAACACUCUGGGAUCCCUUAGUCAGAUUUUUUAGAUGGAUUUUUGCUUGUUUGAUACGUCCCCGAGAUGGCUCGGCAUAAGUGUUUGCCAAGGUUGUUCAGGCUUCAUGAGAGGUUUUUGCUCGAGCGAUGAAGGGGAUAAUGGUGGAGGAAAGAGAUCCUGCAAGAGCACUUAGGAUCAAAUGAUCUUGACGAACCCAGAGCAUAUGCUCAGGAUUUGGUAUGAUGGUGUUGUUUUGAGAAAGGAGGCAGGUGGGCAUGGUUUUGUACCAUCAAUAUAACUAGUGAGAUUAUAGCCUACAAAAAGAGUGUGAAACUGAAGCUUCCAUGAGACAUAAUUGUUGUAGGUGAGUUUGAGUGGGGCUUGAGCUAAAAUAUUAAUGGUAAUCAAUGUAUUAUUUGGUUCACUGGUAUUGUGAAUUAAUGGAUUGGUAGUGGAGGUUGUGGUUGGAUUGGUUGUCAACUUGGUAACAGUUUUUGGGGAGAGAAGAGGGGAAAAAACAAAAUGAGGGAGCUGUGAUUAGAAAUGCUCUGAUACCAUGACAGAAUUCUUGAUAUGAA